AGCUCGCGUCCGCCUCCAUCUGCAUCCAACGUCCGCGCCCACCCGCCUCCGUCCGCGUCCAGCCUCCGCGAGUCCGUAUCCGUCUGACACCAUUGAAGACCGAAGACAGAUCUGCUCCGCAUCCGUCCGCCACUUUCAGACUUUGUGUGCUAUUCCGAGAGGCGAGAUCUAUCCGUUCAACUUCCAAGACUUCAAAGUUCAAGCCGGUCUCGUCCAAGUCUGAAGAAAUGGUUACACAUUUAGCAACUGUUUUAGAAGAUGCAGAUGAUUUUGAUGAAGAUGGC